rnacentral:rRNA from 1 species
CCUACGGGGGGCAGCAGUGGGGAAUUGUUCGCAAUGGGCGCAAGCCUGACGACGCAACGCCGCGUGGAGGACGAAGAUCUUCGGGUCGUAAACUCCUGUCGAGCGGGAAGAAACCCGCGGGGGUGAAUAAUCCCUGCGGCUGACGGUACCGCUAAAGGAAGCCCCGGCUAACUCCGUGCCAGCAGCCGCGGUAAUACGGGGGGGGCAAGCGUUGUUCGGAAUUACUGGGCGUAAAGGGCUCGUAGGCGGCCAGCUAAGUCGGAUGUGAAAUCCCCAGGCUCAACCUGGGAACUGCAUCCGAUACUGGCUGGCUUGAAUCCGGGAGAGGGAUGCAGAAUUCCAGGUGUAGCGGUGAAAUGCGUAGAUAUCUGGAGGAAUACCGGUGGCGAAGGCGGCAUCCUGGACCGGCAUUGACGCUGAGGAGCGAAAGCCAGGGGA